UACGUAGGGGGCAAGCGUUGUCCGGAUUUACUGGGCGUAAAGGAUGCGUAGGCGGACAUUUAAGUCAGAUGUGAAAUACCCGAGCUUAACUUGGGUGCUGCAUUUUGAAACUGGGUGUCUAGAGUGCAGGAGAGGUAAGUGGAAUUCCUAGUGUAGCGGUGAAAUGCGUAGAGAUUAGGAAGAACACCAGUGGCGAAAGGCGACUUACUGGACUGUAACUGACGCUGAGGCAUGAAAGCGUGGGGGAGCAAACAGG
rnacentral:rRNA from 1 species